GAAAAGGGGAAUUUUACUAUAGAGAUUCAGUUAAAAGCGUUGUCACCAAAAUUCUUUGAGACACCACUUUGCUCAUCUUGUCCUAGACUCUGUUGGCCAUACUGGUCGUACUUCUUGGAUGCUGAGAAAACUGGCCAAAUCCUCUGGACCUUUUCAAAGUUAUGAGAUUCCUCUGGCCAAGAUUAGAGAGAGGUGGAUCUGGCUGAUCACUUCCUGUGAGCAGCCUGGGCGCCAGUUUGAUCCUGGAACUCGAGCCUGGAGGAACUCCCUCAGACAGCUUCCUUGAGACGGUCACAUGUUGAGUGGGGAAGAGGGUUCUUGGAGGAAAAGGUGAUGGCAGCCAUCUAGCACUGAGUGGGACCAGCAAAGCCCUGAAAUCUCUCCAAGAAUCCUGGAUAAAGCUGCUGCCUUAUGGUAAUAAAGUGAACCCAAGCUAGCUUCUUAAGAAUCCU
rnacentral:lncRNA from 1 species